GGACUUGCCGGGCUCGGGCUCGGCUCCUCUCAAACGCAUUAGCGACGGUCUGACCUUGCAGAGCCGCUCCGACGUGAUAAGACCUAUCCGACGUCGCAGCCUGCGGGGUCCGCUCGCUCCUAACUGUCGCAAGACAACGGAGGCCCUCGGCCUCUCGACGCUCUGACCUCAAAUCAGGUAGGACUACCCGCUGAACUUAA
rnacentral:misc_RNA from 1 species